AUCAUGAUACUUCUGUCCAGUCACAGCCCCCACAUAUGGGGAUCACGCAAUGAGGGCAGCCGGCAGAGAUCCUGGCGGGGGUGAAAUUCCCAUGA
rfam:Clostridium sp. W14A NODE_55, whole genome shotgun sequence.